rnacentral:RNase_P_RNA from 2 species
GCGGAUGGCUGGAUGGCCGCUGGGGCUUAGGCACCAGAGGAAAGUCCGGACUCCAGGAAGACACGGUGCCGGGUAACGCCCGGGCGGGGCAACCCGACGGAAAGCGCCACAGAAAACAGACCGCCGUUCCUCGGGACGGUAAGGGUGAAACGGUGGGGUAAGGGCCCACCGGGGGGCCGGCAACGGUCCCCGCACGGCAAGCCCCACCGGGAGCAAUGCCGAAUAGGGAUCCUGCGGCGCUCGUCGCCAGGCCGCUUUCGCCCAAGGAUCCGGGUAGGCAGCAUCAGCCCGUCGGCAACGCCGGGCGCAGAGGAAUGGCCAUCCAUCCGGCAGCGAUGCCGGGGGACAGAAUCCGGCUUACAGGCCAUCCGCGCAU